AGGUUUUUAGUUUAAUGGUAAAAC
rnacentral:tRNA from 2 species